rnacentral:lncRNA from 1 species
UGGGUGGGAAGGUAGUGAUUGGAUGGGCUGAUCCUUCGUGUUGAUGGUUGAGUUUGAUUAUCGUUUAUCUGUUUUCGGCCGAGUGUGGCCUUUUAAAUUUGGAUUUUGCUUAGGCUUAGAUGGCCGUAUUUGUAUUUACCGAGACUGGCCGUUAGUGGCUUUGAAUCCCCUACCGUUUUGCGGCUUAUAUAUUAUGAAUGUUUGAAGAGUUUCAGUUUGCGUAUAUGUUUAAAUUGUUGAGAGAAAAGAAUAUAAGUUGUCGUCUCAUACCUAACUCAUAGUGUAGCGUUCUUUCGUCUGUUCGUAAAAGAUGCAGAAUUUUGUGAACGUUUAAAAACGAAUGGCGAGACAUGGUUUUAAGAUCUCGUAUCAAUUUUUAGAUAUCAUGCCUUGAGAUGUUAGAGA